GUGGGGAAUUUUGGACAAUGGGCGCAAGCCUGAUCCAGCAAUGCCGCGUGCAGGAAGAAGGCCUUCGGGUUGUAAACUGCUUUUGUACGGAACGAAACGGUCCGGGUUAAUACCCUGGGCUAAUGACGGUACCGUAAGAAUAAGCACCGGCUAACUACGUGCCAGCAGCCGCGGUAAUACGUAGGGUGCAAGCGUUAAUCGGAAUUACUGGGCGUAAAGCGUGCGCAGGCGGUUUUGUAAGACAGGCGUGAAAUCCACGGGCUCGACCUGGGAAUUGCGCUUGUGACUGCAAGGCUGGAGUGCGGCAGAGGGGGAUGGAAUUCCGCGUGUAGCAGUGAAAUGCGUAGAUAUGCGGAGGAACACCGAUGGCGAAGGCAAUCCCCUGGGCCUGCACUGACGCUCAUGCACGAAAGCGUGGGGAGCAAACAGGAUUAGAAACCCCGGUAGUCC
rnacentral:rRNA from 1 species